UUACCGAGUUUACAACUCCCAAACCCCUGUGAACAUACCACUUGUUGCCUCGGCGGAUCAGCCCGCUCCCGGUAAAACGGGACGGCCCGCCAGAGGACCCCUAAACUCUGUUUCUAUAUGUAACUUCUGAGUAAAACCAUAAAUAAAUCAAAACUUUCAACAACGGAUCUCUUGGUUCUGGCAUCGAUGAAGAACGCAGCAAAAUGCGAUAAGUAAUGUGAAUUGCAGAAUUCAGUGAAUCAUCGAAUCUUUGAACGCACAUUGCGCCCGCCAGUAUUCUGGCGGGCAUGCCUGUUCGAGCGUCAUUUCAACCCUCAAGCACAGCUUGGUGUUGGGACUCGCGUUAAUUCGCGUUCCUCAAAUUGAUUGGCGGUCACGUCGAGCUUCCAUAGCGUAGUAGUAAAACCCUCGUUACUGGUAAUCGUCGCGGCCACGCCGUUAAACCCCAACUUCUGAAUGUUGACCUCGGAUCAGGUAGGAAUACCCGCUGAACUUAAGCAU
rnacentral:rRNA from 1 species